AAAUCCAUUAUCUGGUACUGGAACCUCCGCACACACCUUGCCGCUCACUGCCAUAUUUGCCAAAAUGUUUUAAUACCAUGUCAAGGCAUCCGUAUCACCUCAUCCCAACAGAAGAACCGACAGAAAGUUUAAAUCCUGGGGAUUGCAUUAUUCAAAUAAAUGACAAUAUGUCAGAAAUGAAAAAAUCUAAUCCAAAGUACUUUCUUGAUUGUUGUCGUUGCUGUUACACAAUGUUCUGUUACAAUGUUUUUGUGGAUUGGUGUUUUGCAAGUGUAAAUGCAGUUUAUGGAUGUAUUUGCUCAAAAUGUUCCCAAUCGAAGGAGAGCAAAUUACACGAGUGUGAAAAGGAAGUUGAAAAGCAGAAACGGUUAAAUGAAGAUUUGGUAGC